rnacentral:rRNA from 2 species
AAGUCGAACGGCAGCACGGGGGCAACCCUGGUGGCGAGUGGCGAACGGGUGAGUAAUACAUCGGAACGUGUCCUGUAGUGGGGGAUAGCCCGGCGAAAGCCGGAUUAAUACCGCAUACGCUCUACGGAGGAAAGGGGGGGAUCUUAGGACCUCCCGCUACAGGGGCGGCCGAUGGCAGAUUAGCUAGUUGGUGGGGUAAAGGCCUACCAAGGCGACGAUCUGUAGCUGGUCUGAGAGGACGACCAGCCACACUGGGACUGAGACACGGCCCAGACUCCUACGGGAGGCAGCAGUGGGGAAUUUUGGACAAUGGGGGCAACCCUGAUCCAGCAAUGCCGCGUGUGUGAAGAAGGCCUUCGGGUUGUAAAGCACUUUUGUCCGGAAAGAAAACCUCGUGGUUAAUACCCGUGGGGGAUGACGGUACCGGAAGAAUAAGCACCGGCUAACUAC